UUCCGGUUGAUCCUGCCGGACCUGACUGCUAUCGGAUUGAUACUAAGCCAUGCUAGUCUUUGUAGUAAUACAAGGCAUACGGCUCAGUAACGCGUAGUCAACCUACCCUAUGGACGGGGAUAAUCUCGGGAAACUGAGCAUAAUACCCGGCAGACCACUUAUCCUGGAAUGGUUAGUGGUUAAAAUGAUUCGUCGCCAUAGGAUGGGACUGCGGCCUAUCAGCUUGUUGGUGAGGUAAUGGCCCACCAAGGCGAUUACAGGUACGGGCUCUGAGAGGAGAGGCCCGGAGAUGGGUACUGAGACAAGGACCCAGGCCCUAUGGGGCGCAGCAGGCGAGAAAACUUUGCAAUGUGCGAAAGCACGACAAGGUUAGUCCGAGUGAUUUCUGCUAAAGAGAUCUUUUGCUAGUUAUAAAACCACUAGUGAAUAAGGGGUGGGCAAGUUCUGGUGUCAGCCGCCGCGGUAAAACCAGCACCUCAAGUGGUCAGGAUGAUUAUUGGGCCUAAAGCAUCCGUAGCCGGCUCUGUAAGUUUUCGGUUAAAUCUAUACGCUCAACGUAUGGGCUGCCGAAAAUACUGCAGAGAUAGGGAGUGGGAGAGGUAGACGGUACUCGGUAGGAAGGGGUAAAAUCCUUUGAUCUAUCGAUGACCACCUGUGGCGAAGGCGGUCUACCAGAACACGUUCGACGGUGAGGGAUGAAAGCUGGGGGAGCAAACCGGAUUAGAUACCCGGGUAGUCCCAGCUGUAAACGAUGCAGACUCGAUGAUGCAUUGGCAUAUAGCCAGUGCAGUGUCGCAGGGAAGCCGUUAAGUCUGCCGCCUGGGAAGUACGUACGCAAGUAUGAAACUUAAAGGAAUUGGCGGGGGAGCACCACAAGGGGUGAAGCCUGCGGUUCAAUUGGAUUCAACGCCGGG
rnacentral:rRNA from 1 species